CUAAGUUUGAUGGCGACCGGCGCACGGGUGAGUAACACGUAUCCAACCUGCCGAUGACUCGGGGAUAGCCUUUCGAAAGAAAGAUUAAUACCCGAUGGCAUAGUUCUUCCGCAUGGUGGAACUAUUAAAGAAUUUCGGUCAUCGAUGGGGAUGCGUUCCAUUAGGUUGUUGGCGGGGUAACGGCCACCAAGCCUUCGAUGGAUAGGGGUUCUGAGAGGAAGGUCCCCCACAUUGGAACUGAGACACGGUCCAAACUCCUACGGGAGGCAGCAUG
rnacentral:rRNA from 1 species